GGUGCAGGCGGCUCUUCAAGUCGGGUGUAAAAGUCCCCAGCCUAACUGGGUGAAGGCACCCGAUACUGUUGAGCUAGAGGACAGCAGGGGAAGGUGGAAUUCCCGGUGUAGUGGUGAAAUGCGUAGAUAUCGGGAGGAACGCCAGUAGUGAAGACGACCUUCUGGGCUGUUUCUGACGCUGAGGCCCGAAAGCGUGGGGAGCGAACAGGAUUAGAUACCCUGGUAGUCCACGCCGUAAACCAUGGAUACUAGAUAUGGGGGGUAUCGACCCCCUCCGUGUCAAAGCUUACGCGUUAAGUGUCCCGCCUGGGAAGUACGGCCGCAAGGCUAAA
rnacentral:rRNA from 1 species